GCCGGAAUGGCGGAAUCGGUAGACGCAGCGGAUUCAAAAUCCGCCGCCCGAAAGGGUGUGCCGGUUCGAGUCCGGCUUCCGGUACCA
rnacentral:tRNA from 1 species